rnacentral:piRNA from 1 species
UGGGAAAGGUGGAUGCAAGUCCUUCCC